ACCAGACUUCACACUCAGCUCCAGGUUUGUCUAUUAUAUGUUAUUGAAAAACUUACUUGCUGCCAAAGAACUGCUCUUUGCUAUUGGAGUGGUCUCCAAAUAUGUGAGGUCUCUACUUUAAGCCCCAGUUAGAAUCAAAUAAAAAAAAUUGCUCUUUUUUAAACAAUGGCCGUAGGUUCUUUCUACUCUAUUAAUUAUCCAUGUGCAGAAAUGUUACUUAUCCUAGUUGA
rnacentral:misc_RNA from 1 species